rnacentral:rRNA from 1 species
AGUUUGAUCCUGGCUCAGGACGAACGCUGGCGGCGUGCUUAACACAUGCAAGUCGAACGAUGAAGCCNUUCGGGGUGGAUUAGUGGCGAACGGGUGAGUAACACGUGGGCAAUCUGCCCUUCACUCUGGGACAAGCCCUGGAAACGGGGUCUAAUACCGGAUAACACUCUGUCCCGCAUGGGACGGGGUUAAAAGCUCCGGCGGUGAAGGAUGAGCCCGCGGCCUAUCAGCUUGUUGGUGGGGUGAUGGCCUACCAAGGCGACGACGGGUAGCCGGCCUGAGAGGGCGACCGGCCACACUGGGACUGAGACACGGCCCAGACUCCUACGGGAGGCAGCAGUGGGGAAUAUUGCACAAUGGGCGAAAGCCUGAUGCAGCGACGCCGCGUGAGGGAUGACGGC